ensembl:snRNA U6 U6 spliceosomal RNA
GUGCUCACUUUGGCAGCACAUGCCCUAAAACUGGAACAAAGCAGACAAGAGCAUGGCCCUUGCACAAGGAUGACAUGCAAAAUCAUGAAGCAUUCCAUAUAUUU